GAUAAACGCAGGCGGCGAGCCUAACACAUGCAAGUCGAACGAGCUUGUCUCUUUCGGGGGAGAAGCGAGUGGCGGACGGGUGAGGAACACGUGGGUGACCUACCUUUCAGUGAGGAAUACCGGCGAGAAAUCGCCGACAAUACCGCAUGAGCUUCCCUGUGUGAAGGAGGGAAGGAAAGCUUUGUCUUUCGCGAGAGAGAGAAGGCGCUGGGGAGAUGGGCCCGCGGCCGAUUAGCUAGUUGGUGGGGUAAGAGCCUACCAAGGCGUCGAUCGGUAGCUGGUCUGAGAGGACGAUCAGCCACACUGGGAUUGAGAACGGCCCAGACUCCUACGGGGGCAGGUAGUGAGGAAUUUUUCGGCAAUGGGGGCAACCCUGACCGAGCAACGCCGCGUGCAGGAAGAAGGUUUUCGGAUCGUAAACU
rnacentral:rRNA from 1 species